AACGAACGCUGGCGGCAUGCCUAACACAUGCAAGUCGAACGAGACCGUCGGGUCUAGUGGCGCACGGGUGCGUAACGCGUGGGAAACUGCCCUUAGGUUCGGAAUAACUCCCCGAAAGGGGUGCUAAUACCGGAUAAUGUUUUCGGACCAAAGAUUUAUCGCCUUUGGAUGGGGCCGCGUUGGUUUAGUUAGUUGGUAGGGUACAAGCCUACCAAGGCGACGAUCCGUAGCUGGUCUGAGAGGAUGAUCAGCCACACUGGGACUGAGACCCGGCCCAGACUCCUACGGGAGGCAGCAGUGGGGAAUAUUGGACAAUGGGCGAAAGCCUGAUCCAGCGCUGCCGCGUGAGUGAUGAAGGCCUUAGGGUUGUAAAGCUCUUUUACCCGGGAUGAUAAUGACAGUACCGGGAGAAUAAGCUCCGGGUAACUCCGUG
rnacentral:rRNA from 1 species